rnacentral:rRNA from 1 species
UUAAACGGCCGCGGUAUCCUAACCGUGCAAAGGUAGCGUAAUCACUUGUCCCCUAAAUAGAGACCUGUAUGAAUGGCUAAAUGAGGACUUAACUGUCUCCUUUAAUUAAUCAGUGAAACUGAUCUUCCAGUACAAAAGCUGGCAUAAUAUCAUAAGACGAGAAGACCCUGUGGAGCUUUAAAUCAAGAGCCAAUACCAAAACUCCAACAAACCAAUUAUGGCUUAAGACUUUAAGUUGGGGCGACUUCGGAACAAAAUAUAACUUCCGAGCAUAAAGGAAAUUAACCUCACCAAGACCUACAAGUCAAAGCAAAACUUGACCCAGUAUAACUGAUCAUCGAACCAAGUUACCCCAGGGAUAACAGNGCAAUCUUCUUCAAGAGUCCAUAUCGACAAGAAGGUUUACGACCUCGAUGUUGGAUCAGGACACCCAAACGGUGCAGCAGCUGUUAAAGGUUC